rnacentral:rRNA from 1 species
AUGUACAAGAGAGGUGAAGGAAGGGAUCGUCUACUAGUUGGAACCUACGUCGACGACCUAUUGAUUACUGGAGCAGAUGAAGUGGUGAUUGCAGAAUUCAAGCUACAAAUGAAAGAGCUUUUCAAGAUGGAUGAUCUUGGUAUUUUGAGUUACUACCUCGGGACAGAGGUACAUCAAAAGCCGGAGGGGAUCACACUAUGCCAGGAGGCAUAUGCAAGGAAGGUACUUGAAGGCCGUGGCAUGAAAGAUUACAAUCACAUUGUCGCUUCAAUGGAACCUCGUCUUGAGCUGAGCAGGAAGGAGAUGGUGAAUCUACUCGGCUACAGUGGUAGUGACAAGGAAGGAAUUGUCGACGGUCGUAAGAGUAAUUCGGGCGUGGCAUAUUUCCUUGGAGGAAGCAUAGUAAGCUGGCUAUCACCAAAGUAUAAAGUGGUGACAUCGACUUCAAGUGAAGCAGAGUAUCAAGGUGUGUGGCUAGGAAGGCUUCACGGUGAUUUCAUGGAUCGAGAUCCGGAACCGAUGGUGCUCAAUAUUGACAGUGAGUCUACGGAUUUUCUAUGCAAGGAUCCAGUGCGGCAUGAUAGGAGCAAGCACAUUGAUACGGUAUAUCACUAUACAAAGGAUUGCAUGGAAGAAGGUAAGAUGAAGGUCAACUACGGUUGCACCGAUGAUCAGCUGGCAGACAUCCAGACCAAGGCUUUGGAUCGAGAGAAGUACUUGGGGCUGCGAAGAAGAAUCGGCGUCGGCGCUGUAACGUGA